UACAGAGGUCUCAAGCGUUGUUCGGAUUCAUUGGGCGUAAAGGGCGCGUAGGCGGCGGGGUAAGUCGGGUGUGAAAUCUCAGAGCUCAACUCUGAAAUGGCACUUGAUACUGCUCUGCUAGAGGACUGGAGAGGAGAUUGGAAUUCACGGUGUAGCAGUGAAAUGCGUAGAUAUCGUGAGGAAGACCGGUGGCGAAGGCGGCAUCCUGGACCGGUAUUGACGCUGAGGAGCGAAAGCCAGGGGAGCAAACGGG
rnacentral:rRNA from 1 species